CCACCGUCAGCACCCAAAGCUGAAAU
rnacentral:piRNA from 1 species